ACCAAAUAGGCAGAAUCAUUUCC
rnacentral:piRNA from 1 species